rnacentral:rRNA from 1 species
CAGUAGCCGCGGUAAUGCGUAGGUGGCGAGCGUUGUCCGGAAUUAUUGGGCGUAAAGGGAGCGCAGGCGGACAUAUAAGUCCAUCUUAAAAGUGCGGGGCUCAACCCCGUGAGGGGAUGGAAACUGUAUGCCUUGAGUGCAGGAGAGGAAAGCGGAAUUCCCAGUGUAGCGGUGAAAUGCGUAGAUAUUGGGAGGAACACCAGUGGCGAAGGCGGCUCUCUGGUCUGUAACUGACGCUGAGGCUCGAAAGCGUGGGGAGCGAACAGGAUUAGAUACCCCCGUAGUCCCUGUCUCUUAUACA